rnacentral:misc_RNA from 1 species
GAUGAAGAACGUAGCGAAAUGCGAUACUUGGUGUGAAUUGCAGAAUCCCGUGAACCAUCGAGUCUUUGAACGCAAGUUGCGCCCGAAGCCAUUAGGCCGAGGGCACGCCUGCCUGGGCGUCACACGUCGUUGCCCCCCCAUCUACUCCUUCGGGAUUGCGGGGGGCGGAUGAUGGCCUCUCGUGCGCCUCGUCGCGCGGUUGGCCUAAAUGCCAAGUCCUCGGCGACGCACGCCACGACAAUCGGUGGUUGCGAAACCUCGGUUGCCUGUCGUGUGCGGUCGUCGCGCAUCGAGGGCCCGAAAAAAUUGCCGGGCUUCGGCUCGACUUUCAACGCGACCCCAGGUCAGGCGGGGUUACCCGCUGAAUUUAAGCAUAUCAAUAAGCGGAGGA